AGCCUAUAGUUUGAAAAAUGGCGCUCACCAUUAAUGAGAAGUGGAUCCGGGAAAGAGUGCACCUAGACCCUGAAAAUCUGGACGAUGUGCGAUCUCUGGCACUACCAGGUACCUUCCAAGAGAAGAUCACCCACCUUGGCAGUGCUCUGCAGAACUUCAUUCGUCUCAAGCACCUGGACCUGUCCAGGAAUGCCCUGCAGAGUCUGGAUGGAUUGCAGCACCUGAAGCUGCUGGAAAAGCUCAACGUUUACUAUAACAAUAUUUCCACCUUGAAGGACCUGUACCAGCUGCGCCACAACACCUGCUUGCAGGAGGUGGAUCUUCGCUUGAAUCCCGUCACCAAGAAUGAGCCUGACUACCGGCUGUUCAUGGUGCACAUGCUGCCCAACCUACGCAAGCUGGAUGAUCGUUCGGUGCGUGAAAGUGAGAGAAAGGCAGCUCUAAUGCACUUUAAUUCUGACCAGGCUACAGACCUGACUGAGCAUCUGCCGUUGAAGAGACAAAUGGAGACAGACAGGGUUAUAAACCCCAGGGUUGAGAUGGUGGCAAACAUGCCGAGGAAAACAACAGUUCUGGACGAUGAUGACCGUGACGUUCUGGAUUUGAUUGCCAGGUCCAGUGGGGACCUGGGCCGGCCUCGGGACAUCACUGGCUCCAAGGCCAGGGUUGCAGAGGUUUCUACACAACCUCAUGCAGAGCACCUUAGAGGAGACUCAGCUGACGAAAGGCCACCUAGUCCUGAGGAACCCCCCAGCACCAAGUUCCCUCCGUCCCCCUCGCCCCUGUCGACUGCACCAGUGCUCCAGGUUGACAGGCCUCAGAGAGCUGAUCCAUUUAAUGAGGACGAGACUGUGGUUAGACAUCGUAACUUCGAAGAGAGGAUGCUGGGAUUGGAGGUUUCUGGCGGUGCCGAAGCCACAGGAAGACACCCGCAUGCCAAGGAACGAGUCAGGGUACAGUUUAGUGAUGAUGAGAACGAUCAAGAUAGCAACCAAGACUUGAAUGCAAAGUAUGCUGAUGAAAGCCAAGCCUACACGGCUUACACCUCAAGGGGCCAUUUCACACCACAUCCAGACAGCGGCCAUAUGGACCAUCCACCCGCAGUAAGAUCCAGCUAUCGCGACCAACUGAGCAGGCAUCCUGCAGAGAGCAUCGAGGAUACAGAAGACGCUCAGCCGCUGGCAAGAGAAGAUAGCCGGGUGGACCUUAAUCAGUUCUUAGACGACUUCCUGUCUCUAGUGGACAGAUACUGGAAUGGCACCAAGUCACUCCACAGACACGGCAAAUUCCAAAGCCAAGCGCAUUCAAUGCUCGCCACGCUGGUCAACAGAAUUCUAGGCAGUGUACCUCAACAGAGACCAGACAUUCCUAAAGAUUCCUCUGCAGACACCAACAAGCUGAGACAGGCCCUGCGAGCUGCCCAAGAUCAAAUGGCCAAUCUGAAAGAUGAACUAGAGGCAGCACUUGCAGACAAAAGGAAACUCCAGGCCAACCUGGAUGCAGUUCAGCAUGAGACACCAUCAAGUGACAGGCCAGGUGAUAGGCCAGCAGAUAGUAGCAGGCAAACUGACAGAAUUGCUCGUUCAGGUCUUUUGGAAAAAGAAGUUGAGAAGCUGCAUCUUGAGAAUGAAAGUUUGAAGCUUCAUGUCAGGCACUUCAACCAGCUGCAGGAACUUGCUACUAUGCUGCAGGAGAGCCACAAGUCCCUGGUUACUACCAACGACCAUCUUCUCCAGGAAUUAGACGAGGCCAAACAGCGCCACCUGGAGGAAGUUAAGCAGCUGCAUUGGUCGUACAGUGAGCUGAAGCGAACCCUGGAGCUGGCUCCUGGCAUGCCACAGGGAGGGCCCAGGACCACAAACCAGCACCAUGCCAAUGGAGUGCUUUCAUAAACUCCUUCAAGGUCACCAGGAGGAUUGUGGCAUCGGUACUCGUCCAGUACCCAUGCCUUUCUCAUGUUUCUUUGGUCCCAAUAUUGUGCGUCGUCAGUGGUGUUUGGAAUAUGCCCCUGGUUAAAAUGUCUAUCCGUUAAGGAAGUGCUGAAUAUCUGACUCUACAUACUUUAGUGUAAGCAGACUGUAAUGGGAGUGUGCCGUACAAACCUAGUGUAGACUGUUGAUCAAAAGAGGUCCACACAGUGCAGCUUGUGUAUACCUUGUUUGGACCAAGCCAGGUCCACACAAUGCAGUUUGUGUAUACCAUGUGUGGACGGAGCCAGGUCCACACAGUGCAGCUUGUGUAUACCUUGUGUUGACCGAGCCAGGUCCACACAGUGCAGCUUGUGUAUACCUUGUGUUGACCAAGCCAGGUCCACACAAUGCAGCUUGUGUAUACCUUGUGUGGACCAAGCCAGGUCCACACUGUGCAGCUUGUGUAUACCUUGUUUGGACCAAUCUAGGUCCACAUAGUGCAACUUGUGUAUACCUUGUUUGGACCAAUCUAGGUCCACAUAGAGCAGCUUGUGUAUACCUUGUUUGGACCAAUCUAGGUCCACACAGUGCAGCUUGUGUAUACCUUGUGUGGACCAAGCCAGGUCCACACAGUGCAGCUUGUGUAUACCUUGUUUGGACUGAGCCAGGUCCACACAGUGCAGCUUGUGUAUACCUUGUUUGGACCAAUCUAGGUCCACACAGUGCAACUUGUGCAUACCUUGUUUGGACCGAGCCAGAUCCACACAAAGUUUCCCCUUUCCUGGAAAGAGUUUUUAGAGACUUGGGGUUUCGAUAUCGAAAGGAAGAGGAACGAUCAAGGAAACCAUAAAAAAUCCACCUCAAAAGAGUGCUCACACUGCUUAAAAAAAAGAGAAGAUGUAUUUUUCUACAAGUUUAUUUACUACACAAACAAAGGAAUGUCCCCAUAAAUUACAAGCUAGUUCUGGUGCCAAUAAUUAGUUUGACCACUAGUCAAGUGCUUUUUAACAAUGCACACGUGUAAUUCAGUCACAUGUGGGCAGCUGCAGUUGAAUUUUUUUGUGAAAAUAGCAUUGUCCCUCACAUUUUACCCUCGGCUGAGCUGCAGCUCUUGCGAUUUGUCAGGUUCAUACAAUUAUUUUCAUGUGAGUAGCUCCGUUCAGCAGAGAAAUGAAAUCAUCCCCCCAGGGCCUGCUUUCAAACGGUCAAUUCAACACCCAUAAUGGUUCUAGCUGGUUAACUAACAUUUUUUUGUCUGUUGUAACACCAACUGUCCGUUUGUAUAACAUGAGCCUUGUAAAUAUAAAUAAGUGUGUGCUCUCUAUCACUGUACUUAAUAGUAGCUGAACACAAAAAAGUGUAUGUGAAGCCAUUUGCUGCCAUAUUUAUUAACCAAAAUGUACGGUCAGGCGCAGACAUUGUAAUGCCAGUUACAUCACCUGUUUAAAAUCACUGAAGUAUUUUAUGGAAAGAGUUGAAGAGUGUACAUGUUCGUGAUAUCCCAUGAUACUUAUUGGUCUACUCUACUUGUACAUAUGUUUAUAGUACAUUUACUUCUUGAAAAGCACAUUCAAACUGCCGUUUAAUUGCAUAUUUGGAGAGAGAAAUUUUUGUUGCAUCAAAUAUUUGGCAAAAUGUACCAGGGCAUGACAUGGUGUUCCUGCAAAUCAGUCCUUUUUUUCACAUGAACCAUUUUUCCAUUUACAGGUACUAGUUUUUGGACUUAGAUGAACUCAUGCAAGGAUAUGUUUUACAGUAUUCUGUCUGCCUUUAUAGUACAAUAGAAAAUGUGCUGGUGUAGCAUCUAGGCAGUGGGCACCCCUGCUUGCUUUAAUGAAUAAAUUGAGCACCGUACUAUUUUUUGCGAAAUUUUUUGGAAAAAUUCUAAAUCUCACGUAAAGCUUAUUCGCAAGAUUUGCCACCAAAUGGCUUAGUGGAACAAAGAUAGCCUCCAUAAUGUACAGUGGGAGCAUUUGACCUGAAUAGCAAUUAUGCCUUGUGAUCAAAGUAAGAGCAAUUAAUCUGAGGCGAAUGCAUUGCUUUAAGAGCAACUGGCAUUUCUGCUUAAUGCUGUUGCAUGGUUGAUUUGUUUUGUAUUCACAUUUGCUGUUUGAAAUGUUAAUUAAAAUGAAGUGAUGCGGUAUUGUUAUUGUUAACUGUUUAAUUUCGACAGCAUAACCUUAUCAGUAUGAUAUCAGUUGUCUGCUUUUCUUAAGGUCCCUGAUAUAAACCAUAACAAAAGGAAUUUCUGUAUACAUGUAGAUUUAAGCGAAAUAAACAAGUUUAAACAAUAAAUGAAUAAAAUUGACUAAAUAAGAAAAUAUUGAUUUUUAAAAAUAAAUCAGUUUAAUAAAGAGGUAAAUAACAGAUAUAACAAGACGAACUUAUUGACAUUUCGAGGGAAAACAAGAAAAUGAAGUGGACAAAAAUACUUGGAAAAUGGAAUGCAGUUGAAUGGAAAAUAAUGAUACAACCAGAAAGUAGAAUACCAUGUAUGAAAAAAUCAAUGAAAUAGAAGCAUGGAACAAAAUAAUUCAACAAAUCAGAAAAAUAAACACAAAUCAAAAUAUUAAAUCAUGCAAACAGUGACACCCAAAAGGUUAGCGUAAAUACAUAGAAUAACAACACUGUACAAUUUACAAGUGAGCCCCAUCCACCAAUAAAAUCCAUAAGAAAACCCAAUAAAAAUGAUAACUAUUAACAGUGGAAAAUAUUGUAUGAAGAAUGUAUGUGUAACGAACAGUGCUUGCCCAAUACAAAGCGUGUGUUUUGAAGGGCCGAUACAUCUACAUUGGAGGCGUCCCUUUUAACAAUUGGGCCAUCUUUUUUGUCUUGUGUCGAGCUAAGUUAUCUGUGACUGCUAAUAUUUUUUUUAUGAAAAGACAUUUUUAGGACCUUUGUUCUAACAAGUUUACAGUCGCGGAUUUGAAAACUUGUAAAUAAAUUUGCAUAAAUGUUUUGCAAUGCAGAUUA
rnacentral:misc_RNA from 1 species